GGGUUGUGAGGUUAAGCGACUAAGCGUACACGGUGGAUGCCCUGGCAGUCAGAGGCGAUGAAGGACGUGCUAAUCUGCGAUAAGCGUCGGUAAGGUGAUAUGAACCGUUAUAACCGGCGAUUUCCGAAUGGGGAAACCCAGUGUGAUUCGUCACACUAUCAUUAACUGAAUCCAUAGGUUAAUGAGGCGAACCGGGGGAACUGAAACAUCUAAGUACCCCGAGGAAAAGAAAUCAACCGAGAUUCCCCCAGUAGCGGCGAGCGAACGGGGAGCAGCCCAGAGCCUGAAUCAGUGUGUGUGUUAGUGGAAGCGUCUGGAAAGGCGCGCGAUACAGGGUGACAGCCCCGUACACAAAAAUGCACAUACUGUGAGCUCGAUGAGUAGGGCGGGACACGUGGUAUCCUGUCUGAAUAUGGGGGGACCAUCCUCCAAGGCUAAAUACUCCUGACUGACCGAUAGUGAACCAGUACCGUGAGGGAAAGGCGAAAAGAACCCCGGCGAGGGGAGUGAAAAAGAACCUGAAACCGUGUACGUACAAGCAGUGGGAGCACGCUUAGGCGUGUGACUGCGUACCUUUUGUAUAAUGGGUCAGCGACUUAUAUUCUGUAGCAAGGUUAACCGAAUAGGGGAGCCGAAGGGAAACCGAGUCUUAACUGGGCGUUAAGUUGCAGGGUAUAGACCCGAAACCCGGUGAUCUAGCCAUGGGCAGGUUGAAGGUUGGGUAACACUAACUGGAGGACCGAACCGACUAAUGUUGAAAAAUUAGCGGAUGACUUGUGGCUGGGGGUGAAAGGCCAAUCAAACCGGGAGAUAGCUGGUUCUCCCCGAAAGCUAUUUAGGUAGCGCCUCGUGAAUUCAUCUCCGGGGGUAGAGCACUGUUUCGGCAAGGGGGUCAUCCCGACUUACCAACCCGAUGCAAACUGCGAAUACCGGAGAAUGUUAUCACGGGAGACACACGGCGGGUGCUAACGUCCGUCGUGAAGAGGGAAACAACCCAGACCGCCAGCUAAGGUCCCAAAGUCAUGGUUAAGUGGGAAACGAUGUGGGAAGGCCCAGACAGCCAGGAUGUUGGCUUAGAAGCAGCCAUCAUUUAAAGAAAGCGUAAUAGCUCACUGGUCGAGUCGGCCUGCGCGGAAGAUGUAACGGGGCUAAACCAUGCACCGAAGCUGCGGCAGCGACGCUUAUGCGUUGUUGGGUAGGGGAGCGUUCUGUAAGCCUGUGAAGGUGUACUGUGAGGUAUGCUGGAGGUAUCAGAAGUGCGAAUGCUGACAUAAGUAACGAUAAAGCGGGUGAAAAGCCCGCUCGCCGGAAGACCAAGGGUUCCUGUCCAACGUUAAUCGGGGCAGGGUGAGUCGACCCCUAAGGCGAGGCCGAAAGGCGUAGUCGAUGGGAAACAGGUUAAUAUUCCUGUACUUGGUGUUACUGCGAAGGGGGGACGGAGAAGGCUAUGUUGGCCGGGCGACGGUUGUCCCGGUUUAAGCGUGUAGGCUGGUUUUCCAGGCAAAUCCGGAAAAUCAAGGCUGAGGCGUGAUGACGAGGCACUACGGUGCUGAAGCAACAAAUGCCCUGCUUCCAGGAAAAGCCUCUAAGCAUCAGGUAACAUCAAAUCGUACCCCAAACCGACACAGGUGGUCAGGUAGAGAAUACCAAGGCGCUUGAGAGAACUCGGGUGAAGGAACUAGGCAAAAUGGUGCCGUAACUUCGGGAGAAGGCACGCUGAUAUGUAGGUGAAGUCCCUCGCGGAUGGAGCUGAAAUCAGUCGAAGAUACCAGCUGGCUGCAACUGUUUAUUAAAAACACAGCACUGUGCAAACACGAAAGUGGACGUAUACGGUGUGACGCCUGCCCGGUGCCGGAAGGUUAAUUGAUGGGGUCAGCGCAAGCGAAGCUCUUGAUCGAAGCCCCGGUAAACGGCGGCCGUAACUAUAACGGUCCUAAGGUAGCGAAAUUCCUUGUCGGGUAAGUUCCGACCUGCACGAAUGGCGUAAUGAUGGCCAGGCUGUCUCCACCCGAGACUCAGUGAAAUUGAACUCGCUGUGAAGAUGCAGUGUACCCGCGGCAAGACGGAAAGACCCCGUGAACCUUUACUAUAGCUUGACACUGAACAUUGAGCCUUGAUGUGUAGGAUAGGUGGGAGGCUUUGAAGUGUGGACGCCAGUCUGCAUGGAGCCGACCUUGAAAUACCACCCUUUAAUGUUUGAUGUUCUAACGU
rnacentral:rRNA from 1 species